GCGGCCGCUGGAUCCUGCAAGUCGAGCGGUAGCACAGAGAGCUUGCUCUCGGGUGACGAGCGGCGGACGGGUGAGUAAUGUCUGGGAAACUGCCUGAUGGAGGGGGAUAACUACUGGAAACGGUAGCUAAUACCGCAUAAYGUCGCAAGACCAAAGUGGGGGACCUUCGGGCCUCAUGCCAUCAGAUGUGCCCAGAUGGGAUUAGCUAGUAGGUGGGGUAACGGCUCACCUAGGSGACGAUCCCUAGCUGGUCUGAGAGGAUGACCAGCCACACUGGAACUGAGACACGGUCCAGACUCCUACGGGAGGCAGCAGUGGGGAAUAUUGCACAAUGGGSGCAAGCCUGAUGCAGCCAUGCCGCGUGUGUGAAGAAGGCCUUCGGGUUGUAAAGCACUUUCWGCGRGGAGGAAGGCGAURARGUUAAUAACCUUGUCGAUUGACGUUACCCGCAGAAGAAGCACCGGCUAACUCCRUGCCAKCRGCCGCGGUAAUACGGAGGGUGCAAGCGUUWAUCGRAAUUACUGGGCGUAAAGCGCAMGCRGCGGUCUGUCMMGUCGAWGUGAAAUCCCCGGGCUCMACCUGGGAACUGU
rnacentral:rRNA from 1 species